GAUGAACGCUGGCGGCGUGCCUAAUACAUGCAAGUCGAGCGAACAGACGAGGAGCUUGCUCCUCUGACGUUAGCGGCGGACGGGUGAGUAACACGUGGAUAACCUACCUAUAAGACUGGGAUAACUUCGGGAAACCGGAGCUAAUACCGGAUAAUAUAUUGAACCGCAUGGCUCAAUAGUGAAAGACGGUUUUGCUGUCACUUAUAGAUGGAUCCGCGCCGCAUUAGCUAGUUGGUAAGGUAACGGCUUACCAAGGCAACGAUGCGUAACCGACCUGAGAGGGUGAUCGGCCAGCCUGGAAGUGAGACACGGUCCAGACUCCUACGGGAGGCAGCAGUAGGGAAUCUUCCGCAAUGGGCGAAAGCCUGACAGAGCAACGCCGCGUGAGUGAUGAAGGUCUUCGGAUCGUAAAACUCUGUUAUUAGGAAAGAACAAAUGUGUAAGUAACUAUGCACGUCUUGACGGUACCUAAUCAGAAAGCCACGGCUAACUACGUG
rnacentral:rRNA from 1 species